rnacentral:rRNA from 1 species
AUUGAACGCUGGCGGCAGGCCUAACACAUGCAAGUCGAGCGGAUGAAGGGAGCUUGCUCCUGGAUUCAGCGGCGGACGGGUGAGUAAUGCCUAGGAAUCUGCCUGGUAGUGGGGGAUAACGUCCGGAAACGGGCGCUAAUACCGCAUACGUCCUGAGGGAGAAAGUGGGGGAUCUUCGGACCUCACGCUAUCAGAUGAGCCUAGGUCGGAAUAGCUAGUUGGUGGGGUAAAGGCCUACCAAGGCGACGAUCCGUAACUGGUCUGAGAGGAUGAUCAGUCACACUGGAACUGAGACACGGUCCAGACUCCUACGGGAGGCAGCAGUGGGGAAUAUUGGACAAUGGGCGAAAGCCUGAUCCAGCCAUGCCGCGUGUGUGAAGAAGGUCUUCGGAUUGUAAAGCACUUUAAGUUGGGAGGAAGGGCAGUAAGUUAAUACCUUGCUGUUUUGACGUUACCAACAGAAUAAGCACCGGCUAACUUCGUG